rnacentral:rRNA from 1 species
UACAUGGGGUGCAAACGUUGCUCGGAAUCAUUGGGCGUAAAGCGCGCGUAGGCGGUUACUUAAGUUGGAUGUGAAAGCCCUCGGCUUAACCGAGGAAGUGCAUCCAAAACUGAGUAGCUAGAGUACGAAAGAGGGUCGCGGAAUUCCCGGUGUAGAGGUGAAAUUCGUAGAUAUCGGGAGGAACACCGGUGGCGAAGGCGGCGCUCUGGGCCGGAACUGACGCUGAGGAGCGAAAGCGUGGGGAGCGAACGAGG